rnacentral:rRNA from 1 species
AUUGAACGCUGGCGGCAGGCCUAACACAUGCAAGUCGAGCGGAGCGGCGGACGGGUGAGUAAUGCCUAGGAAUCUGCCUGGUAGUGGGGGAUAACGUCCGGAAACGGGCGCUAAUACCGCAUACUAUCAGAUGAGCCUAGGUCGGAUUAGCUAGUUGGUGGGGUAAAGGCCUACCAAGGCGACGAUCCGUAACUGGUCUGAGAGGAUGAUCAGUCACACUGGAAAUGAGACACGGGCCCGACUCCUACGGGAGGCAGCAGUGGGGAAUAAUGGGAAAUGGGGGAAAGGCUGAUCCAGCCAAGCCGCGGGAGUGAUGAAGGCCUUCGGGUUGUAAAGCUCUGUUAAUCGGGACGCGGUACCGGAAGAGAAAGCAACGGCUAACUACGUGCCAGCAGCCGCGGUAAUAC